UAUUUAUGCAACAUUCGCCUAGAUGAAGGAACAGGUGCAGCUAUUUCUUCUGCACUAUACAAGGAGUUGGAAAAAAGGGGAAUUGGUCCUGAAAAGAUAAUGGGUCUUGGCACAGACGGAGCUAGUGCAAUGACAGGUAGAGACAGAGGAACUACAGGCAUGAUGCUGCGUCAAAACCCACAUAUCAUGAAUGUACACUGCAUUGCCCACAGACUAGCGUUGUGAACAAGUCAGGCGUCUGAUUCUGUGCCACCAAUGAAAGCAUAUCAGGAAGUCAUAACAUCUAUCUUUUACUACUUCAAAUUCUCUGCUGCAAGAGUUGCAAAGUUACAGGCCAUUCAGGAUGUAUUGGACUCCCCCCGAUUGAGAUUUAAAGAGGUCCAUGCUGUUCGGUGGAUGUCGUUCUUCUCUGCACUUGAAGCAGUUUACAAGGGCUUGGAUCCAUUGAUUACUUAUCUAGCUGCCACCCCAAUGAGUGAUGCCAAAGCACAAGGAUUGAAAAAAAAGGUUGUCAAAUUAUUUCUGUUGCAAACAGGUUAUAAAUAUACUUGUUUUCUAAAUAUUUUCAGCAGUUUUGAAGUCAUUUUUUUACAACUGACAGAAU